CGGGGCGCAAGAGCGGAGCUGCGCGAGCCGCUGCGGAGGGAAGGGCUCCUAGCCAAUUGGGGUCUUUGAGGCGAAUGCGAGGCUGGGGCCGGUUGCCUACCGGCCGCUUCUCGCCGAGGCAGUCCAGACUUUUCCCCCGGCGGUGCCCGCUCCAAGACAGCAUCUGUCAACGCUCCUCUUCUCCCCUCCUCCUCCUGCCGGGCCGGGCUCCGCCGGCUGCGGCCGAGAGGACGCGGGACCCGGCGCGGUGAGCCCAUCAGCUGUCAGGCGAGCGGCGAAGCGGCUGGAGGGCGGCGAGAGACACACAAAGAACGCGGUGGGCGGCGGCGGCGAAAGGGGACGGCAACUCCUCCCCGCGCCCGCCGGUGCCACCGCCGGCCGUGCUUGUUCCGAGGCCGCGCAGACAAUGCGGCCGGGCUCGUCCCCGCGUGCCCCAGAGUGCGGAGCGCCCGCGCUCCCCCGACCCCAACUUGACCGUCUCCCGGCUCGCCCAGCCCCCUCCCGGGGUAGGGGCGCCCCCUCCCUCCGGUGGCCGGCGAAGGAAGUCGGUCCGCGGCCGCAGAUCCCGGCAACUUGCGAACCGGGAAAAGUUUGCGGCGCCUCCGCGGGGCGGCGCGACGCGGCCCGCCCCUCGCGUCCGCGGUCAUCGCGGGUGACUUUCUCGACUCGUCGUCAGCCGGGGCCGCAGCGCGGCCGGUGGGGACUGCGGGGCGGGCCGGAGUCCGUCCGAGGGCUCCCGCACCUCGGGCUGCGGGAACAUUAAAAUCUCCCCAGAUGCUCACUGCUCUGAUCAUUUCCCCUACAGCACCAGACAUGUUGGCAUCAUCUCUUAGUUGGGCCAUGUGGCCAGGGAACCCUUCAUGAAACCACCUCUGCAGUCCUGGAGAGUUGCUGUAGAAGAAGGAAAAGAGAGGAAGACAACACAACACAGGAGGGGAUAAGUACCUCUGGACACAAUGGAAGUAGUAGUUGUUGAGCAGAGGGAAAGGGAUAGGAGAAGGAUGUGGACUGCAGUGCUGCAGUGCCAGGUAAUAACUUUGAUCAUGUACCUCCUUGGCUCAGGUGCUGUCUCUUCUACUCUCCUCCUUACUUGUACUACCUUAUUUAGCACUUAAUUAUAUACUUUCUUGACUCACUUUGAGACACACUGAUUAUGUGGUCUGCCUCAAAGACAGAAUCCUAGUUUUGGAUUUUAGCAUUACUGAUCUAUAGCCUUGCAGGGGCUUAAGGAUGGCAGCUGUCUCUCUCCCUUGGGAUCUAGCUUUUGCAAAUAUUGAAGGGAAGAGAUUUCUUUGAUCUUAUAGGAAUAGAUCCACAGUUCCUCUCCAGAUUUGCUUUUAUAGAGAAGUGUGUGUCACCAAAACAAUGGAGAUACGGUCAGAGAGGCCCCUACCCCCAGAAUUUUAAUAUAAUUUUACUUUCUGGGGCAUUUAUUCUUGACAAAUACUUUCUCUCCUAUCAGCUCACUUGUUCCUCACAAAAACCCUAUAAGAUAUUAAUAUUAUUAAACAGACCCCUAUGAAGCACCUCAAGUCUUUCUCUCUUCCCACUUCCAUUCUUGCACACCUUUUGCUAGACUAGUCUCUGCGUUCAUCACAUCAGGUUUCUAAAAUAAAAGUCCCCUAAUAACUUUCUAUUUGUUCUCUCAUCAUAUUGAACCUUUUUUGCCUGGCUUAUAAGGUGGCCUUAAAACCCCAUUUUCCUCUAAACAUUGUCUCUGUAGUUCAGGAAUAUGGCAGGCUCAACACUAUGCUUGAGCCCAUAUUGCUUCCCUCAUUAGUGAUGCCUCCUCUCAGACCACCCAGAUUCUACUCAUUCUUCAAUUUCCAGCUUCUCCUUGGAGCCUUCCCAGAUCAUUAGCUUCUUAAAAAUCCCAGCUUUCUCUGAAUUCUGAUGGUAGCCCCCGUUAUUUGGACAAUUAUGUCCUGGUCUUAAAGUCCUAAUGGGAAAAAAAAGUACAUGAUGGACUUCAUGUAGAGAAGAAAGCACUGGACUGAGUUUUAAGACAGCUGCUAAGGAGCUGUGUGAGCCAAACCAGGUUACUUUACCUCUCUGGAUCUAUAUUUGCUGAUCUGUUAAGUGGAGACAAUUGGGUCAGAUAAUCUUGGUGGUCUUUGCUUAUUCUGAGGUUCUUGGACAACUUGGCCUAGUUCACGUGGGAUGGGAUUGAAGAUCUUACUGAGUUCUUGGAUGGAAAUGUCAGUAAUGGGCACUUAGUGCCUUCAGGACUUGUUCUAUACUAUCCCAGAAAUUUCUGAUGCUAAACUUGGCAAUUUUUAAAUGUCAUAUUCCUUUUCUCCAAACUCUUUAACCACAAGAAUUCAGGGAAGGUUAUGGGGGGUGACUUAGUUAUCUGGAUAAUACAUAUUGUGGACAAUAUAGCAUUAUCCUUGGGAAUGAUUUCAUAUUGUUGAAUAAAUAGGAUCAACUUCUUGAUAAACCUUAGUCCCAAGCAUUUCAUCUUCAUUGGAUAGUGUUACAUAGUAAUAUAUUUAUGUUUUCUUUUAAUCAUUUCAUAACUUGGAAAAUACUAACAUAGUCAAAACUCUAGGGUAGGUGAUACAUGAGUUUCUGUAGUAAUCUGGUUGGAGACAUGUUGUAAUUCUGUAUAUAUAUGUACAUUUAUCCCAUGCAUGUUAUGCCUAAACUAAGACGGAUACCCCUGAAUUAAGAGGUGCUGUUAUACAUUGACCAGGCUUAAGAAUAUCUCUUUAAAGUGUGUCGACAUUUAAUUGACCUUUGGAAGUUCAUUCUGUUAAUCAUACUCAAAGUGCUAAAGCUAUGGUUGACUGCUCUGGUGUUUUUAUAUUCAUUCGUGCUUUAGCAUAUAAAUUCUUCAGCAUAAUUGCUACUUAUUUAGCAAGAGUUUCCUUUAUUUGAAAAUGUGAGUUGUGCUUGUAUUUUUGUGUCUUUCUUUCUUUCUUUCUUUUUUUAAACUUUGCUUCAGGCUGGGUAGUGGUAGAGGUUUGAAUUAAAAUGUUUUCCUGUCAGUAGUUGUAUGAGGUGUGGCUUCUUAAUCUAGAAGUAAUGGAAAUUUCUUGCUUAAAUGAAGUGCACUUUUCUUCCUGCAGAAGUUAGAACUCUUUUAGACAAGC
rnacentral:lncRNA from 1 species